rnacentral:misc_RNA from 1 species
GAAAUGCGAUAAGUAAUGUGAAUUGCAGAAUUCAGUGAAUCAUCGAAUCUUUGAACGCACAUUGCGCCCGCCAGUAUUCUGGCGGGCAUGCCUGUUCGAGCGUCAUUUCAACCAUCAAGCCCCGGGCUUGGCGUUGGGGAUCGGCGGAAGCCCCCUGCGGGCACAACGCCGUCCCCCAAAUACAGUGGCGGUCCCGCCGCAGCUUCCAUUGCGUAGUAGCUAACACCUCGCAACUGGAGAGCGGCGCGGCCACGCCGUAAAACACCCAACUUCUGAAUGUUGACCUCGAAUCAGGUAGGAAUACCCGCUGAACUUAAGC